GCAAUCCUUGCUGAUAAGCAGGAUGAUAAGUAAUUGAACUGUAAUUACGCCGUAGGUAUUUAUGCAAUCGAUGCAUAAAUAGAAGGGAAUUAAUACGCUGUUUUGCUGAUAAGAAAGCGAACACAUAUUGAAGGAACCCAACA
rnacentral:ncRNA from 1 species